rnacentral:rRNA from 1 species
CCUACGGGAGGCUGCAGUGAGGAAUAUUGGUCAAUGGACGCAAGUCUGAACCAGCCAUGCCGCGUGCAGGAAGACGGCUCUAUGAGUUGUAAACUGCUUUUGUACGAGGAUAAACGCAGAUACGCGUAUCUGUCUGACAGUAUCGUACGAAUAAGGAUCGGCUAACUCCGUGCCAGCAGCCGCGGUACUACGGAGGAUUCAAGCGUUAUCCGGAUUUAUUGGGUUUAAAGGGUGCGUAGGCGGUCGGAUAAGUUAGAGGUGAAAUCCCGAGGCUCAACUUCGGAAUUGCCUCUGAUACUGUUCGUCUAGAGAGUAGUCGCGGUAGGCGGAAUGUAUGGUGUAGCGGUGAAAUGCUUAGAGAUCAUACAGAACACCGAUUGCGAAGGCAGCUUACCAAGCUACUUCUGACGUUGAGGCACGAAAGCGUGGGGAGCAAACAGGAUUAGAUACCCCUGUAGUC